rnacentral:rRNA from 1 species
AUGUAUAGCGAAAGCUAGUUGCAUUAGCUAACUGUUAGUGCAGCAGCGACUUUGUCGUGUAAAGUUCCGGGUAGAGUUAUGAUAAUGACAUUUUCUACCUGUGUGUCUCGACCAAAUUACGUGCCAGCAGUCGCGGUAAUACGUUGGAGACUAGUGUUAGUCGUCUUUAGUAGGUUUAAAGGGUACCUAGACGGUUAUUUCAGCCCCCAAAGGGUACUGUUUAUACUAGAGUUUUAUGAGAGGGGGGGUGUACUAAUGGUGUAGAGAUGAAAUUCUGUCAUACCAUUAUGAACAGGCAACAGCGAAGGCAACCCUUUAUGUGUAAACUGACGUUGAAGGACGAAGGCUUGGUCCACCAACAGGAUUAGAUACCCUAGCAGUCCGAGCAGACAAUGAUGAAUGCCAUAGACUGAAUAUAGCAUGGUUUUAUUAAAAAAAUCGGCUAUUAAUUUUGUCUAUAAAUGAAAGUGUAAGCAUUCCACCUCAAGAGUAACGUGGCAACGCGUAAACUGAAAUCAUUAGACCGUUUCUGAAACCAGUAGUGAAGUAUGUUGUUUAAUUUGAUAAUCCGCAAAACACCUUACCACAAUUUGUAUGUUUAGAGAUAAAUACAAGAGUUGCACGGCUGUCUUCAGUUAAUGUCGUGAGAUUUUGGUUAGUUCCAUUAAAUUAACGUAAACCCUUACUUUAUUUUAGUAAAUAGAGUAGUUCACCGCUAUAUUGGAUAUGAUAAAAGGGACUAAGACAAGUCAUCAUGGCCCGAAUAUUGUGGGCUAUAGACGUGCCACAUACCCCCUAAACAAAGGGAUGCGAAAUUGUGAAAUG